rnacentral:misc_RNA from 1 species
GAUGAAGAACGCAGCGAAAUGCGAUAAGUAAUGUGAAUUGCAGAAUUCAGUGAAUCAUCGAAUCUUUGAACGCACAUUGCGCCCGCCAGUAUUCUGGCGGGCAUGCCUGUUCGAGCGUCAUUACAACCCUCAGGCCCCCGGGCCUGGCGUUGGGGAUCGGCGGAGCCCCCCGUGGGCACACGCCGUCCCCCAAAUACAGUGGCGGUCCCGCCGCAGCUUCCAUCGCGUAGUAGCUAACACCUCGCGACUGGAGAGCGGCGCGGCCACGCCGUAAAACACCCAACUCUUCUGAAGUUGACCUCGAAUCAGGUAGGAAUACCCGCUGAACUUAAGCAUAUCAAUAAGGCGGAGGA